AUUGAACGCUGGCGGCAGGCCUAACACAUGCAAGUCGAACGAGUGGCGGACGGGUGAGUAAUGUCUGGGAAACUGCCCGACGGAGGGGGAUAACUACUGGAAACGGUAGCUAAUACCGCAUACCAUCGGAUGUGCCCAGAUGGGAUUAGCUAGUAGGUGGGGUAAUGGCUCACAAAGGCUACGAUCCCUAGCCGGUCUGAGAGGCUGACCAGACAAACUGGAACUGAGAAACGGUCCAGACUCCUACGGGAGGCAGCAGUGGGGAAUAUUGCACAAGGGGCGCAAGCCUGAUGCAGCAAUGCCGCGUGUAGGAAGAAGGCCUUCGGGUUGUAAAGUACUUUCAGCGGGGAGGCGUUACUCGCAGAAGAAGCACCGGCUAACGCCGUGCCAGCAGCCGCGGUAAUUC
rnacentral:rRNA from 1 species